rnacentral:rRNA from 1 species
UACGUAGGGGGCAAGCGUUGUCCGGAAUCAUUGGGCGUAAAGCGCGUGUAGGCGGUUAGUUAAGUCGAUUGUGAAAUCCCUGGGCUCAACCGAGGAAGUGCAGUCGAAACUAACUAGCUAGAGGACGGCAGAGGAAGGUGGAAUUCCAAGUGUAGAGGUGAAAUUCGUAGAUAUUUGGAGGAAUACCUGUGGCGAAGGCGGCCUUCUGGACCGGUCCUGACGCUGAGACGCGAAAGCGUGGGGAGCAAACAGG